UACGGAGGGGGCUAGCGUUGUUCGGAAUUACUGGGCGUAAAGCGCACGUAGGCGGCUUUGUAAGUUAGAGGUGAAAGCCCAGGGCUUAACCCUGGAAUUGCCUUUAAGACUGCAUCGCUAGAAUCGUGGAGAGGUGAGUGGAAUUCCGAGUGUAGAGGUGAAAUUCGUAGAUAUUCGGAAGAACACCAGUGGCGAAGGCGACUCACUGGACACGUAUUGACGCUUGAGGUGCGAAAGCGUGGGGAGCAAACAGG
rnacentral:rRNA from 1 species